GAGUUUGAUCCUGGCUCAGAUUGAACGCUGGCGGCAUGCCUUACACAUGCAAGUCGAACGGCAGCAUGAUCUAGCUUGCUAGAUUGAUGGCGAGUGGCGAACGGGUGAGUAAUACAUCGGAACGUGCCCUGUAGUGGGGGAUAACUAGUCGAAAGAUUAGCUAAUACCGCAUACGACCUGAGGGUGAAAGUGGGGGACCGCAAGGCCUCAUGCUAUAGGAGCGGCCGAUGUCUGAUUAGCUAGUUGGUGGGGUAAAGGCCCACCAAGGCGACGAUCAGUAGCUGGUCUGAGAGGACGAUCAGCCACACUGGGACUGAGACACGGCCCAGACUCCUACGGGAGGCAGCAGUGGGGAAUUUUGGACAAUGGGCGAAAGCCUGAUCCAGCAAUGCCGCGUGUGUGAAGAAGGCCUUCGG
rnacentral:rRNA from 1 species